CAUGUCACCUGGUGUUGCAUCAUCAAUACCUAACAUAGAAACCCCAGGAUCUGGUGGUCAACCUGAUGAAGAGUUUAAACCAAAUGCUGCUAUGGAAGAAAUGAUUAUAAAUUUCCUUGUAAGGGUUGCCUUGGUCAUAGAACCCAAGGAUAAAGAAGCAAGUAUCAUGUACAAGCAAGCCUUAGAUCUUCUUUCACAAGCACUGGAGGUGUGGCCAAAUGCCAAUGUCAAAUUCAAUUAUUUGGAAAAACUUCUCAGCAGCAUUCAGCCAUCACAGUCAAAGGACCCUUCAACGGCACUUGCACAAGGCUUGGAUGUCAUGAACAAGGUUUUGGAUAAGCAGCCUCAUUUGUUCAUUAGAAAUAACAUCAGCCAGAUAUCUCAAAUUCUGGAACCCUGUUUCAAACAUAAAAUGUUAGAUGCUGGAAAGUCGCUGUGCUCUCUGUUGAAGAUGGUCUUUGUUGCUUUUCCGCCAGAUGCAGCUACCACACCAACAGAUGUGAAGCUUUUGUAUCAGAAAGUUGAUGAACUGAUACAGAAGCAUAUCAGUAUUCUUACAGCUCCCCAGACAUUGAGUGAGGACAACUCUGCCCAUUCAAUUAGCUUUGUGCUGCUUGUUAUUAAGACCUUGACAGAGGUGGAGAAGCACACUGACCCAUUUAACUUGUCUCG
rnacentral:misc_RNA from 1 species